rnacentral:lncRNA from 1 species
AUGGCGUGUGCGGUGGACGACCGUGUCAUAGUCGCAGCCAGUGGAUGCGUUGACCACAGCGCAGCCAGGACGGACAACUGCGAAUCACCCGAUAUUGAAGGACCGCGUGCAGCGUGCAGCGCGACCAGAGCCGACAGACUGAAACCCAGUCUCUUGGAAAACAGAGGUGGCUGUGUCGUGUUUUCUCGAACGUCUCUCAGCAUGUGUCUUCCUUACUCCAGAACGCUGCCACAGCUCACGGACCUCUUAAAGUCUUCUUUUGAACUCGGGUGCAAUAUAAAUAAGUAAAUAAGGUCAUUUGGGUGGAUGACGAAUUUUACGUGCUGGCCUCCUUUGCUCUCCUCCAUCAUCUCCAGCUGCAGUCGCCGCCAGCCUCACCAUCGUGGCACAUACACACCGGCACGCAGGUGCACAUCCAUCACAUCCUUAAAAACCCUCACGCUUGCCCAGUGCCGUCACCUCCCAUGUUUUCCUUCACCUUUUCACUUCAACCCACUUUGCAUCAUGCUCUGCCCCGUUCUGUGAACUACCCCUCACUUCCCGUGUCCGCCCCGUGGUCUUCCCUGUGCCCUCUCGGAACAACGUACAUCUCCGAACACUUCCUUAUAAGCUUGGGAUCCCCUUUCACUGACUCCCAUACCUGGGUGCCUUACAGGAGAAUCAUAUUUCACUAAAAGAAUCGAGCUCCCAUGAAGCCUUUGGUUGUAAUUGCGAGGGAUUUUAGAGCUAAAUCAGUCCCGCACAAUUUCCUCUAAUAGGUGGCAUAUCCCCUUCCAUCUUCAGGUUCAAAAGGGAAGAUUUCUCUGUUUGAGUUCAUCUGUUAACCAGGAACUGUUCUGAGGGGGAUAUGCAUGAGGUACCACCUUGAGUUUCAUUAGCAUGUAAGAGGAAGAGAACGAGUGGUCACACCUAUUCUGUAUCAUUGGAAUCAGUUUUUACAACUUCCCGACCCUUUGGAAGAAAUCAGUAUUAUUCACAAGUAUUGGAGUUCCCAUCGUGGCGCAGUGGUUAACGAAUCCGACUAGGAACCAUGAGGUUUCAGGUUCGAUCCCUGGCCUUGCUCAGUGGGUUAAGGACACGGCGUUGCCGUGAGCUGUGGUGUAGGUUGCAGACUUGGCUCGGAUUAUGAGUUGCUGUGACUCUGGCGUAGGCCAGCAGCUACAGCUGUGAUUAGAUCCCUAGCCUGGGAACCUCCAUAUGACACGGGAGCCUAGAAAAGGCAAAAUAAAUAAAUAAACAAACACCA